CAAUUAGUUAUCCACCGAACUACCAACUAUACGCUUAUCGCGCUUUGGUUUUACAGCAAUUUUAAUUAGGUCAUCAACUUUUUGCUUCCUUUCACCGAAAGUUCGUUGACCCUGAAACCGAAAAGCUGACUAGGAGAAAUCAUCAGCACUCGUUGCAACUGUGGUCGUGAAUUUUUCCAGCAAAUAUUUCCGCUGUUUAAUAUCCGUCAAAUAUAAAAUCGACUACGAUGUGCUGGGGACGACCACUGUAUUUCGACUGACAACGUGUAGCAUGUAUGUUUGUAGGCUCCAAGUGGCUACAUAAAAACGUGUGGUGAAAACCUGAAUACACACUAUAUAGCUCUCAAGAUGGAGUCAGACAAAGUUGAAUACAAUCCAUGAUUAGAAAUUAAAGGCAACGUGCACAUUAACAUUAGUCAUAAUUUACACGUUAAGUAAUCGAGGCACAUCAUUUCAGAAUGAUAUUAGAAUUACACGUUAUGCAUUGCAAAGAACAGAUGAAGAUUGUAUACACAGGGACGAGAAUCCCAGGCAAGUGUAAUAAAUGAAUAUGACCAAUGAACAAGUAUGUGGCAACCUGAAAAAGAAAAUAUAAUGUGAAGAAAAUGAGAUUCAGAUCUACAGGACAAAUAUGAGAUGGAUAAUCAUGAACAGAAAUGGGGGAAAAAAUGAAAACAGUGAAUACCAUCAAUUGGAAUUGAUCGACUAUUCUUUGUUAAAAGCUGACAGCCGUAGCUACAGGAUAUUUGAAACAAUAGUGAAAUACUCACAGUGUGAAGUACCAUCAUCGAGUCUGACAUUGCGAUCUAGGCCCGUUGGUCUCAAACGAGCGUCACCGGUACUUCCGCUGUCUAUGCCAUUGCCGUUCUGUAAAUUCAAUUAAAAACAAUUAAUGGAUCGGAAUCAACCGGAAAUCAGAUUGUCUCUGCUGUCAUCAACAGUAUACCUAGGAAGACAAAUAAUUUUUAUGUCUGUAUGGUGUUUAAGGAGGAAGAAUCUACCCUUAAUUUACCAAAAUGUUGAAAUGAAUGGGUAUAUUGUAAGGGGAGAACAGGAGGAGACAUGUAAUCGAGAUGAGUGAUAAACAAAAAAUUGGGAUGUGAAUAAUGGAUGCCUACCUUGGCAUCGAGAGAGUGAUAGGUGGUGGGCGUCGUGUUCAACUGUGCAGGACCAGGCGACGAUGUUGAUGUUGACGAACUUAAGGUACCCUUCAGUGGAAAUUUCUCCAUCGUUGACCGUUCAACUGUUAUUUAAUAUAAAUAUGGAGCGCGUAAGUGAACCCUUAGAGUUUUAGAGACUGGCUCCGAAAAUAUAAUCCUACUGUUACACCUA